rnacentral:ncRNA from 2 species
CUACGGUUGUGGGGCCGUGGUGUUCGGGAAGACCGGUGAAAGCCCUGUGGAGUUCGCGGGGCUCAGGCCGGAGCGGCCCUCGCCACUGUGAUCGGGGAGUUUCCGUCCCAGUUGAGCACGGUCACUGUUCGCCGCCAGGCGGAUGGGAAGGCCGGGACGGACACGGCGACCCGUCAGCCAGGAGACCGGCCACGGCAUCUCACGAACU